UCGCGCCGUAGAGAAGAGAGGUGGUCGGGUUGGGACAGGGCUCUGGUUCGGCCGCUACCUGAGACGAAUCGACGAGUCUUCUAUCAAAGUCUCGCAUUGCAGAGCAGAACCUGGAGUUCAAGACCAAGAAUGAUGUGACCAAGAAUGAUGUAAUCGAAACACUGAAUAUGAUUGUCAAGGAAAAGUCACAAAAGAUUACUACUAUGCAGAAUGAAGUAACUUCCCUCGAGGCCAAAGGGUCUUUAGCUGCAGAGGAGCAGGCAAGCAAGGCCAAUGCACUGGCCAUUGAGCUCGAGAAGCAGACCGAGAAGCUCAAGAAGGAUAUUACAAAACAAAAAAUAAAAAAAGAAGCUCUAGAGGCUAGGGCUGGCAAUGCUGAUAAGAAGGUGCAAGAGCUAAAUAUGAAGCUGGAGAAGCUCCAGAGGACAAGCAGUGAUCAAAAGCGCAGGAUUCAGAAGACUGGACAUGCUCUUAAAGCUGCUGAGGACGAGCUGAUGAAGGCUCAGUUGGAAACAACAACAAAAGUAAAACAGCUUAGAGAGCUGGACUGCUCUAAUUUUGAGGACUCAUGAAGCUGAAAAAAUACAAACUCACUUUUUGCUAAACCCUAGCAUAUUCCAGUUCUUGGGCAUGCAGUUGCUAUCAGGGAACUGUUGACACAUAUACAGAUCAACUUAGCAACAAUGAAUUGUCAUCGCCACCAAAAAACAUACCCAGGUUAGCAAAGCCAUGCCAGAUUCUUCAUGUUCCAAGAAUGAUGACAGUUAGAUCAUCCUGAAAUAUAUCAAGGUAUGACACCAUUCAGGAUCCUUUGUACACAAACCUCGCACCCUCGUUUUCCCUUUUUCCCCAUUACAACAAGCAAAACUACAUCGUGUCUAACAAAAAAAACCAUAUUUAAGUAUCCUGAUAAUUUGUUUCCACAAAUCAACAACCAUAACCCAAAAUAAUGUAUUACUAAUAAUUAAAGCCACUACUUCUGGCUUUAUCUAGAAACCUAUAUGCAUAAUUUGCGAACUUGCCUGGCCGGACCCAUAAUAGCUUUAUCUUUUGCUUACCAAACUUACUAACUCCAGCAACUUAUUUCUUUAAAGUUAUCCUGUCAUUCAUGAUUUUUGUUUGAAUGCUUUGAACCUUUUCUUCAAACAUUACCUAGAUGCACUUGCCACUGUUCUUAAUAAACCUGCUUGUGUACUGUUAUUCACUUAAAUAUUGUCAUAACAAUGUGUUAGACUGUUAGCCUCUUCAUGUACCUUAUUCGAGAAGCACAACUUUCAAUUAAGUUUUUGUAACUUGAGACUUAGUACCUGCUUGCCAUGAUUAGAGGGAAAGAUAAAAUAAACAUGUUAUGUGUAAUUGUUUCUCUCCUUUGAAAGAAUAUUAUUUCUUUUAUAAUCCUAAUAUUGCAUUGAGCUCUUUGAUGCUGUCUAGACUAACAUACUCCAAUCAUUUGUAUACAUGUAUUAGUUUUUUUGCAAGCAUAGAAGAGGCUCCAUCACUUUUGGUCAUGAGACUUUUAUGUACAUAUGAACCUGAUGUUGAAGCCUUCCUAGAACUAUGUGUGUCUAUGCAAGAAACGCUUAAUCACUUUUGAUCAAUAGACUUUUGUGUACAUAUGACUCUGCUAUUGAAGCCUUUCUAGAACUAUGUUUGUCUAUGCAAACUUUACAGA